UAGGGAAUCUUCGGCAAUGGACGAAAGUCUGACCGAGCAACGCCGCGUGAGUGAAGAAGGUUUUCGGAUCGUAAAACUCUGUUGUUAGAGAAGAACAAGGACGUUAGUAACUGAACGUCCCCUGACGGUAUCUAACCAGAAAGCCACGGCUAACUACGUGCCAGCAGCCGCGGUAAUACGUAGGUGGCAAGCGUUGUCCGGAUUUAUUGGGCGUAAAGCGAGCGCAGGCGGUUUCUUAAGUCUGAUGUGAAAGCCCCCGGCUCAACCGGGGAGGGUCAUUGGAAACUGGGAGACUUGAGUGCAGAAGAGGAGAGUGGAAUUCCAUGUGUAGCGGUGAAAUGCGUAGUUAUAUGGAGGAACACCAGUGGCGAAGGCGGCUCUCUGGUCUGUAACUGACGCUGAGGCUCGAAAGCGUGGGGAGCAAACAGG
rnacentral:rRNA from 2 species